ensembl:lncRNA
CUGUCCAUGUCCCCCAGCCAUGUCCAUGUCCGUGUGUCUGUCCCCACGUCCAUGUCCCUGUGUCUGUCCAUGUCCCCACGUCCAUGUCCGUGUGUCUGUCCCCAUGUCCCCCAGCCAUGUCCCUGUCCCCGUGUCCAUGUCCGUGUGUCCCCAGCCAUGUCCCCGUGUCCGUGUGUCUGUCCAUGUCCCCGUGUCCUCAUCCCUGUGUCCAUGUCCCCAUCCCUGUCCCCGUGUCCAAGUCCAUGUCCGUGUGUCUGUCCAUGUCCCCAUGUCCUCAUCCCUGUGUCCCCAUCCCUGUCCCUGUGUCCAUGUCCGUGUCCGUGUGUCUGUCCCCAUGUCCGUGUGUCCCCAUCCCUGUCCGUGUGUCUGUCCCUGUGUCCCCAUCAGUGUCCCCAUUGGUGUCCCACUCACGCAGCCCGGUGGACUCCAUGCGCGACGCCGUGUUCACCGUGUCCCUGUGUCCAUGUCCGUGUGUCCCCAUCCCUGUCCGUGUCCGUGUGUCUGUCUCCAUGUCCCCAUGUCCAUGUCCGUGUGUCUGUCCAUGUCCAUGUGUCCCCAUCAGUGUCCCCAUUGGUGUCACACUCACGCAGCCCGGUGGACUCCAUGCGCGACGCCGUGUUCACCGUGUCCCCGAACAGGCAGUACCGCGGCAUCUUCAGCCCCACCACGCCCGCACACACCGGGCCUGGGGACACCUGGGUGUCACCGCUGGGGUGCCACUCCCGUCCCCAUUCCCAUUCCUGUCCCCAUUCCCAUUCCCAUUCCCAUUCCCGUUCCCAAUCCCAUCCCCAUUUCCCAUUCCCAUCCCUGUUCCUGUUCCCACCAGUGUGGAUGCCGAUGCGCAGCUCCAUUUCCCAUUUCCAUUCCCAAUCCCAUUUCCCAUUCCCAUUUCUCCGUUCCCAUCCCCAUCCCCAUUCCCACCAGUGUGGAUACCAAUGCCCAUUCCCCAUCCCCAUUUCCCAGUUCCCAUUCCCAUUCCCAUUUCCCAUUUCCCCAUCCCUGUUCCCAUUCCCAUCCCCAUGACCGUUCUCACCGGUGUGGAUACCAAUGCCCAUUCCCCAUUCCCAUUUCCCAGUUCCCAUUCCAUUUCCCAUCCCUGUCCCCAUCCCCAUUCCCAUUCCUAUUUCCCAAUCCCAUCCCCAUUCCCACCACUGUGGAUUCCCAUCUCCAUUCCCAUUCCCCCAUCCCCGUUCCCAUUCCUGUCCCCAUUUCCCUGUUCCCAUUUCCACCAAUGUGGAUGCCAAUGCCCAUUCCUGUUCCCCAUUCCCAUUUCCCGUACCCAUUCCCAUUCCCAUUCUCAUUCCCGUUCCCAAUUCCGUUCAUCCCCACCGGUGUGGAUGCCAAUGCCCAUUCCCAUUUCUCAUUCCCACCAGUGUGGAUUCCCAUCUCCAUUCCCAUUUCCAAUCCCAUUCCCAUCCCCAUUUCCCCGUUCCCAAUCCCAUUUCCAAUCCCAUUCCCAUCCCCAUUUCCCCAUUCCCAUUUCCCCAUUCCCAUUUCCCCAUUCCCAAUCCCAUUUCCAUCCCCAUUUCCCCGUUCCCAAUCCCAUUUCCAAUCCCAUCCCCAUUUCCCCAUUCCCAAUCCCAUUCCCAUCCCCAUUUCCCCAUUCCCAAUCCCAUUUCUCCCAUUCCCAUUCCCAUUUUUCCCGUUCCCAUUCCCGUUCAUCCCCACCGGUGUNCCACCCAUGGACUCAUUUCAGGGGUCACCUCCCGCCUCAAAAUCCUCUCUGGAUGUCAUCCCUCAUCUGGGGACUCUUUUUGGGGGUCACCUCCCACCCAUGGACCAUUUUAGGGUGUCACCUCACAUCUGGGGGAUCUUUUUCAGGGGUCACCUCCCAGCUGGGGACUCUUUUUGGGAGUCAUCUCCCACCCAUGGACCAUUUUCAGGGGUCAUCUCCCACCCAUGGACCCUUUUCGGGGGUCACCUCCCGCCUCAAAAUCCUCUCUGGAUGUCAUCCCUCAUCUGGGGACCCUUUUUGAGGGUCACCUCCCACCCAUGGACCCUUUUCAGGGGUCACCUCCCACCCCUGGCUCCUUUCUAGGGGUCAUCUCCCACCCAUGGCCUCAUUUCGGGGGUCACCUCCCGCCUCAAAAUUCUCUCUGGAGGUCAUCCCUCAUCUGGGGACUCUUUUUGGGGGUCACCUCUCACCCAUGGACCAUUUUAGGGUGUCACCUCACAUCUGGGGACCUUUUUCAGGGGUCACCUCCCAGCUGGGGACUCUUUUUGGAGGUCAUCUCCCACCCACAGACUCUUUUUGAAGGUUACCUCCCAUCUAGGGACUUUUUGGGGGUCAUCUUCCAUCUCAGGACCCUUUUUGGGAGUCAUCUCCCAUCCAUGGACUCUUUUCAGGGGUCACCUCCCAUCCAUGGACUCUUUUCAGGGGUCACCUCCCACCUCAAAAUCCUCUCUGGAUGUCAUCCCUCAUCCAGGGACCCUUUUUGAGGGUCACCUCCCACCCAGGGACCUUCUCUGGAUGUCACCCCUCAUCUGGGGACCCUUUCCGAUGGUCAUCACCCACCCAGGAACCCUUUUUGGGGGUCACCUCCCACCCAGGGACCCUCUCUGGAUGUCACCCCUCAUCUGGGGACCCUUUCCGAUGGUCACCACCCACCCAGGAACCCUUUUUGAGGGUCACCCCUCACCCAGGGACCCUCUCUGGAGGCCACCCCUCAACUGGGGACUCUUCCUUGGGGUCACCACCUACUCAGGAACCCUCUCUGGAUGCCACCCCUCAUCUGAGGACCCUUUCUGAUGGUCACCACCCACCCAGGGGCCCUCUCCGGGGGUCCCUGGUGGCACCUGUUGAANUGUCCCCAAUGUCCCCACGGUGUCCCCAGGUGUCCCCAGUGUCCCCAUGGUGUCCCCAAUGUCCCCAAUGUCCCCAUGGUGUCCCCAAGUGUCCCCAAGUGUCCCCACAGUGUCCCCAAGUGUCCCCAUGGUGUUCCCACCCGCUCACCCUCCCCGUUGGACUCCAUGCGUGACGCCGUGUUCACGGUGUCCCUGUGGUGUCCCCAAUGUCCCCAAGGUGUCCCCACAGUGUC